UACGUAGGGGCCUAGCGUUGUCCGGAAUUAUUGGGCGUAAAGAGCUCGUAGGCGGUUUGUCGCGUCUGCUGUGAAAACCUAAGGCUCAACCUUGGGCUUGCAGUGGGUACGGGCAGGCUAGAGUUCGGUAGGGGAGACUGGAAUUCCUGGUGUAGCGGUGAAAUGUGCAGAUAUCAGGAGGAACACCGGUGGCGAAGGCGGGUCUCUGGGCAACAACUGACGCUGAGGAGCGAAAGCGUGGGGAGCGAACAGG
rnacentral:rRNA from 1 species